rnacentral:lncRNA from 1 species
AUUUUUGAUGGAAAUAGAUUGUACAAAGAACAAUUAACAUUUAAGCAUGUCUUCAGAUAGCAAGAAACUGAAAAAGCAGGGCUGGCAUAUCUACUGAAUGGUGGCAUCAACAAAUCUGGAAUAUAGCCUUAUCGGGAAAACUAAUCAAAUAUGGGCAACAAAAACUCAAACAGAGCCAAGCACCUUUUUUGCAACAUUGUAGGAUUUUAUUUGACUUUAUAAAUAAACAAAAGUGAUGGUUAGAUUCAUUCCCCAUCCAUACAUGGAAAUCUCUGGAGGAAUACUUUAGGAUAAUUCUUGUUUUAUUUUGCUUUGAACUUAUGUUCUCCAACACAGCAGUGUAACAAUGUGCUUCUACAUUUACUGUGUCUGUUAUAGAAAUAGAGAGAGAGGGGUUUUUUUAACAAACAAACAAACAAACAAAAAACUGUUGGAUCUACCCCUCACCCAUCAUUUCCAGUUUUCUAGUUAGUUUUAGUGAAGCAAAACACUUAUAUAAACUGCAUUCUAAUAUUAUUUACCCACAUAAUGGUAUAAAAAUGAAUAAUUAACAAGAGGAGAAGCCGUCUCUGCUGGGGCACUUGCUAUGGCUAUAUGAGGUCCCAGCUGUGAGAGCCAUACUGGGAAAGAAAUUUACCAGAAGCCAUGAAAAGCUAGAUUGGAGAUUCAUUGAGCGGAUUAGACUGUAAAUUUGAUUUGGUCCAACAUAAAUCCUUAUAUAACAUCCCUGCAUAGAAUAUAUUAAAAUGACAAUUUCAUUUUUAGUGGCCCCAAUCCAAAAAAGUCAUGUGCAAGAAAGUGUGAUGUGCAAAUAACUAAAGUCUGGCACAGCAGAUGGAAAGGCUCAUUCCUAUUUACAAUACAAAAGAGAAUGGACAGUAAAGCACAUGCGACAUACAUGCAGAUUUGAUGGUUCCUGGCUGUGCUUGUGCCAUGGGAGCCGAUGAAACAUCUAUGACUGUGGCACUACAAUCCUAUUUUGAGGACUGGGCUGCCAGCUUGUUAUUAAAUGGGAUACUCUGUGUACAUGUACUUUUGGAAAUGUGUUAAUUGUCCUUGCUUGGAUCUUUGUGGUGCUAAAUUAACCUGGGACCUUUAGAGAAGCUCUGGGACAACAGGUGCAAGUUCCUUAAAUGAAAUGGCCCCAAGGACAAGGUCCAAACAUAGUACUUAUUUCACACCAAUCCACAAACUAAAGAUAAUAAUUAAACUAUCUUGUUUAAUCAGCAUUUUAUUUAUUUAAAUAAUUUAUAUCCCUCCUCUCAUAAAAAGCUCAAGGCAACAUUAAACAGCGGACUGCAGAAUCAAAGAGAUCCUGGUGAACUGCUGCCAUCCCUGUUUCUGCAUACUUGCUGUAGGAGUGGAAUACCAAGUGCCAGUAUUGCAUAGGGUGUCGAACUUCAGAAUGAGUAAAUCUAGGCUGAAAUCUCCACUUGGUAAGUUACUGGGUCUAGGACACCCAAGCUUGUUGAGUGUCCUAGACCCAGUAACUCUCAGCUUAACCUGCUUCACAGAGUUGUGUCAAUUAGGGGUGUGUCAUUUAUGUCAUCCUGAGCUCUUUGAAGAAACAGAAAGGUAAACGUGUAAUAAGUAAUGAUAGUACAUCAUAGUGUUGCACAGUUGGUUGAGUUGUGAGCCUGAAUCUUGACUAAUUUCAGGAUGAAUACUGGCUGUUGUCUAAGAAGGAAUCACUUCCACUCCUCUGCUUAAAAACAAAUCCGGACUAUUUUCAAUGGCUUAAACAGCUGGCACUUUCAGACCUCUGCUUUUAACUUUUUGGACCCUGUUUUCUUCUUUUGGACACUGCUCUCUGUAUAAAUGCUGAUGGAGUCACUGGCCACAAAAACAUUGUUGUUUAAGAACUUCAGCCCUGAAGAAGCAGAGACAUACUGGCUCCAGGCUGAGGGACAGAGAUCUGACAGAGAGGUGCAUAGUUAGCAUUUAAUAUAUGUAAGACAUUAACAUGCUCAAUUUGCUUAACAACAGAGCUGGCACAGGAACAUUUUGCAUAUAGGCAAGUUACACCUUAAUAGAGAUUGCUUUGCUGAGCUGAAACAGUUUUGUAAAAUGAUAUGAGUGAAUAAUUCAACAGAGCUGCAAAACUGAACUGUGGAAUGCUAUUGAACUCCCAAGGUUAUACAAAUGAUAAUAUUUAAGCACAUUGUUACUGAAAUUCCCCUCUCCACUCCUCAUUUAAAAUAGGACAUUCUCUGAUUGCUUCCAGAUGAACUGUUUAUUAAGCAGUUAUCUUGAUUUGUUUACACAAAGGGUUUUCGUUUUUUGGUGGGGGGAGUAGAUGAUGGCAACUAUUUACUGAGUAUUCACUGUUAUUUGUUUACAGAGAGUUGAUAUAUCAUUGCAUCAAGCAGUUCUUAUGACACACUUUCUGGGCAUUCCCCCCUCACUUUUCUUAUUGCAAAGAGCCUAGGGUUGCAGAAAAGUGGGUUUGUUGUGCAAGAGUUACAAAUCAAAUUUAAUGACACCACCUGAAUUUGCUGGUGACUUAAUGCCACUCAAAAAUAGCAACAGCCUGGACACGCCCUUUACACCAGCUGCUUUAUUUACUUGUGUAAACAACUAGCUAGUUUAGUUGGUUGCAUCUCAUCCCGAAUCUUGUCCCUGAUUAGGAAAUUAGUUCUGGAUUUCUUCAAGUGAAAGUUAAUAGUCCUUCGAAAUAAGUGUUGGGUCAGUCCAUCAACCUCUGGUGGAUGAUUUAGAAGGAUUGGUUCUAGCAUCACUUUCGCUGUGUGUGUGUGCCAGUUAUCCAUACUCAGCAGUUACAUCUCAAUGCAGCUCCUUCCUUGGAAUUGUCUUCGGGGUUGAAGGUACACACAGUAGGCAAUAAAUACUCAUGGACGCCAUAAAGAUUCAGUCAAGUGUAGAGGUUUACUUGACAGGCAUAAAAGCAUAUCAGUAGCAAAUAUAUAUACAGACAUUCACCACUGCCAUGGUCAAGGCAUGCUUAGAGUUCAACAAGGGUCCAAGCCUCUCUCUCUGCUCUCACCACAAGAUGCAAGCCAGAGACUCACAACAAAUUACACAAGUUACACAGAACCAUUGCUAUCAGUACUUCCUGUCACAUUGCACAUGUCCAUAGAACAGUUCCCACAGAAAAUGUCCUUGCAUAGACAAAACAGUCUCAGCCUUCUGCUGCUUCUUGAAACUUCUCUGUUCUUCUCUGUUUCUGGAACAAAUGAUUCUCACACACAGAGAAUAUCUAACAAGAAGAACUGACAUCAACCACAGCACUCUUCAUCUUUGUUCACCCAAACAUAAUGGAUGUCCUUGGGCUUAAUUGUUUCCCCACUAUUCCUCCCCUGCUGAAGGACAUACCUAUUUACAAUUUAAGGUACAUCUACCUAUGCCAAAAUCCAAUACACCUUUUGUUUCUUUGUGGUUGUUGUGUUCAGUUAUCCGCUUCUUUGCUAAUUCAUGGAGAUGCUCCAAGGUCACAUUCUAUUUAUUUGUUUGGUGCACCCACAGGUUGGUAGGUAGGGAUGGGGAAUAAAUUCAAUUUAGUUCACAUUCAAAGACAAAUCUGGUAAUUUGCACUUUCCAAAACAAAAUGAGACCCAAAAUGCAUCCAUCCUUCAAAAUUGGCACUUCUCUGAGUUUUGCAAUGCAGUUUUUCAGCCAAGUAAUAUGUACAAAAAUGCACAGACUAGGAUAAAAUGUACAUAAAAAAUCAAAUGUUAAUGAAUAUAAUAUACAAAAGUGCAGUAUGUUUAGGGAAAUUGCUUUCUAAAGAUGCCUAUCAGGAGAAAUUUGCACUAAAAUGCUUAUGAAUUUUAAUGAGGACUUUUCUUUUUUAAUGCAGACAUGUGGAAAUGUGGAGAACUGAACUUAAAACUGGAAAAUUGAGAAACUGAAAUUGACAGAUUCAUCCAUCACUGUUGGUAGAGCACACAAGCAGCUGUUCUUAUGUUUUCUUUUCAUCCAUUAAGUCAAAAAACAACAAAAAAACACUUAAAUUUUGGGGUGAAAAAGUGCACAGCAAACACUCAAAAGGGAACUUCGGUGCUUCAGUGGAAAAUGAGGGCAAGCUAGAACUGGAACAAGAGACACCCAGUCAGAUGUAUCCUUAUUUGGUCCUCUCAUCUUUUAUGCUGUCAUUCCAAACAACAGGGCUGACAACUAACAAAAGGAUAUUUACUUGGUUAGUCUGCUGCCUUAUUUGAAUUUAAAUGAAGUUGCAUAUUACGAUAACUUCCAUAAAGGUGCCUUCUUGAGAUACUGUGAUCUUUAGCCAUGUGAUGCCGUAGCACUACUGAAGAUGAGCAGAUCUGGAUUUGGCCAGAGCCUGGAUGCGAGGCCUCCUGGGAACCCUGCAUACUCUGCUGCAAGCUUCAUGGAGAAAUGUCACAACUGAAGCUUGUUGGGGGGGUACUGCACUAAACACUGGUAUUUGUCAGGAAACUACAGAAUUGAUCUGGAUUAUGGCUAAUGUGGUGUGAAUGUGUCUUUAAAAAAUUAGCAGUGGGAGUGCACUGGAUGCAGAAUAAGCAGUAAUGUGAACAUAUCCUGAGCUACAAUGGUGCAGGGCAGGGGGAUGUAAUUGCCUUGAAGUUUUCUGAAUAUUUAGCUUUACAACUAUUAGUUACUGCGUUCCUUUCUAAACCUUGUGAAAAAAGAGAGUGCGAAGCUCACAAGGCAGUUUGCCCAAAGCAGAGUAAACUCUCUUGCCCAUGAAGCCUUUUUAAGUAUUACAGCUGUCCCUGGAACUCCUUGUCAAAGUUUGUUGUUCUGCAGCUAGCGUGCCUAUUUUUAUAUUCCCCUCCUGGGCUUAUGUCCUAAAAUCUCUGCAACAUGCUGAAGUCUAUGGGGAUUAUUAGUGGCAUAUGUAUUUUCAGGGUAAGAACUCCCAUGGACAUGGAAUAGGAGAACUCUGAUAAACUUUCAGAUAAGUCAUUCUGAUUUUUCAAACUAAAUACCCCCCUCCAGUUUCCUUUCUAUUACCUUGUUUAAAAUAAAUUGUAGGAAUUGGUUUAUCAUGUCAUUUUAUGGCCUAACAUUAGGGUUAUGCUGCCCCAACCAAAUUUUGCUUGACUAGAGUACUGAUUAAAAGUCCAGAAUUAUUGGUUAAUUCUUUCUUAGUGGAAGCCAAGGAUAGUAAGAAAUCUUAUGUUUCCAAAUAAGAGACACCCAUCAGAACUUGGGGAAGCACUUUCUCCCCACCACCACCCUGCCUCUUAGAGAGAGAGAGAGAGAGAGCGCUAAGAAAAGUAGCUGUGUGUAUGUGUGUGAGAGAGAAAUGUCUGAAGCAUUUUUGCCAGAAAAAGGCAAACAGCAAGCUGUGGACUGGUUGAAAGCACCCUUGAAGGUGCAAGUGCUCUCUCUGGAUAACUGAUAGAGCAGGUGUCACCAAAGUUGCACCUGUAGGCACAACAGUGCAUUUGAGAUUUCCCCCAGCUGCCCACAAAGCCGCAGCCCACAAAACUGGAAGGAAGAGACCAGAGGGAGUGGCACCCAUGGUACUUACUUAAAAAUCCAAAUGCGCCCACAGGUCUAAAGAGGUUGCUGAGCCCAAGACAUAGAAAAUUUGCUGCCUUGUAGAGGUGCUUCUUUGUUCUAAAAAGAAGUCUGAUGGAUCAGACCAAAGUUAGUCCAGCAGCAUCUUUCCAACAAUGGCCAGCCAGGUGCCUCCAGGAAAUACACCAGCAGGCCUUGAAAGCAACAGCCCCCUGUUGCUCCCCAAGGGCAAGGCAUACUACCUCUGAAUCUGGAGGUUCUUUAUAGAUUCCCAUGACAUAUAUACAGGCAUUGAUAGAUAAAACUUGGGGCCAUCACCCCAGUCUUAUGGCAGCAAGUUCCACAAAUUAUUAUUUAUACAAGUGUACUUAUAUACUAACGUAAAAUAUAUACCGUAUUUUUCGCCCCAUAGGGCGCACCGGCCCAUAAGGCAUACCUAGAUUUUGGGGGGGAAAUAAAGAAAAAAAAAUUAUUCCCCCCCCCCAAGGCACGAGGCUGGGGCAGGGGAAGCCCGUGCUUCCCCAGCCCCCAGAACAGGCUGCUCUCCGAAAGCCGUGGGAGCCCUCCCGCUCAGCGCGCCGGGCCUUCGCGAUAAGAGGCAGCUCUGCGCAAGCCGGGGAAGGGCUCCCGCAGCUUGCGCAGAGCUACCCGAAGCCCCGGCGCGACUGCUCAGCGCGCCGGGGCUUCGGGAUAAGAGGCAGCGCUGUGCAAGCCGGGGGAGGGCUCCCGCGGCUUGCGCAGAGCUACCCGAAGCCCCGGCGCGACUGCUCAGCACGCCGGGGCUUUGGGAUAAGAGGCAGUGC